rnacentral:lncRNA from 1 species
CUUAGGUGCUCUUCAAUUCUCUCAAUUCUACAUGUUCAAAAUCUGUAAAAAUAAGACACGAAGACACGAAUUCAUUUUUUAAAACCUGAAACCUGCAAGUUUAAUUAAGGAAUUCGAGAUCCUGCAGUUUGGCUGACAAAUGAUAUAGUCAGCACCCAAUUUUCUCCUAUUAGGUGAUCUGCAGUACACAAUCAGAGCCGCUAGGCCAAUUUUCCUGAAUGGUCAUAAAGGUUUUUAACAAAGAAAGAGCUCCAAAAACUUGGGAAUGGGAUGAGGGCAAUAAAGACUUCAUUCAACCAGGGGCCCACUUUAAAGGGCAAUAUUGGAUUGAAAAAUUGAGCUACAUCAGUUAAAGCACCAAACGGCCUUGCUGCUUAAAGAUAGCUGAUGAGUCAUGUUCAACUCAACCUCCCCCUAACCUCCAGAGGCCUAGAAUGUGACUCUAAUGUAGUUUCUGCUUCCAAGUACAAAACCCAGACAAGACGCCCCGGCAAAGUCUCGGAAGAAACACCUUAGGGUCAUUUUCACAGCCUAUGAGCAUCAUUCCAAUGCCCAGCCCGAGAUAUCAUGCAGGGUACGGCGAAUGCUACAUUUGAGCACAGAACGUCUGACCUUCCAUUUAGGGUCAGAAAUUGGCUAAUCUGUUUCUCAGACUUGCUCCACAGAAACUAAACCGACAGAUCACGUUUAACUAAAACGAUGCCAGACGCCAUCCGUUCUCCAAAGAAAUCUUCGAGACACGCUGGCCACAUGCAUCAAGUACACAGCGCCACCUACAGCAUUAUUGGUGCAAUUCACCAUCGCCCUCUUCACCGGCCGCACUGGUAUCGCAGAUACAGCCUGAGAGAAUUGCUACAUCAGGCAGACAGUAUCUGACCUAGACUUUAAACGUCACAGAGAAGGAUCACUGGGUCUGGGGCAAUCAGAGAAGACGUCAUGAGGACUGGAAAACCUUAUUUCUUGAAGUUCAAGCUCAAGUAUCAACAAGGAAGAAAAUGCCAAAUAGAAGGAAUGAUAUGAGCGAAGGAGGUGUGAAGGACAAGCUCCAUGACAGCAAGAACUUCAUUUCAUUCACUGCUCUGUCCUCAGUGCCUAGUUCAGUGCCUGACACAUUGCAGCUUCUAGAUAAGUAUGGAAAGGAGGAAAGGAGGAAGGGAGGAAGGGAGGGAUGGAGGGAUGGAGGGAGGGAGGGAGGAAAGAAGGAAGGAAGGAAGGAAAAGGAAGGAAAGAAGGAAGGAGGGAAGGAAGGAAGGGAGGGAGGAAGGGAGGGAGGGAGGAAGGAAAAGGAAGGAAGGGAGGGAGGAAGGAAAAGGAAGGAAGGAAGGAAAAGGAAGGAAGGAGGGAAGGAAGGAAGGAAGGAAAAGGAAGGAAGGAGGGAAGGAAAAGGAAGGGAGGGAGGAAGAAAGGAAAAGGAAGGAAG